rnacentral:rRNA from 1 species
CAGUAGCCACGGUAAUACGUAGGUGGCAAGCGUUGUCCGGAUUUACUGGGCGUAAAGCGCACGUAGGCGGAAAUUUAAGUCAGGGGUGAAAUCCCGAGGCUCAACCUCGGAACUGCCUUUGAUACUGGGUUUCUUGAGUCCGGAAGAGGUGAGUGGAACUGCGAGUGUAGAGGUGAAAUUCGUAGAUAUUCGCAAGAACACCAGUGGCGAAGGCGGCUCACUGGUCCGGAACUGACGCUGAGGUGCGAAAGCGUGGGGAGCAAACAGGAUUAGAUACCCCCGUAGUCCCUGUCUCUUAUAC